rnacentral:rRNA from 1 species
AGCAGCCGCGGUAAUUCCAGCUCCAAUAGCGUAUAUUAAAGUUGUUGCAGUUAAAAAGCUCGUAGUUGAAUUUCGGGAUUUAUCCGUCGGUCGGGCUUUUGGGUCUGUACUGGCGUGAUGGAUUCCUACCUUCUGAAUAACCGGCAUGUCAUUAAUUUGGUGCGCCGGGGAAGCAGGACUGUUACCUUGAAAAAAUUGAGUGCUUAAAGCAGGCUUAUGCCUGAAUACAUUAGCAUGGAAUAAUGAAAUAGGACGGCAUGGUUCUAUUUUGUUGGUUUCUAGGAUCACCGUAAUGAUUAAUAGGGAUAGUUGGGGGCAUUAGUAUUCAAUUGUCAGAGGUGAAAUUCUUAGGAUUUAUUGAGGACUAACUACUGCGAAAGCAUUUGCCAAGGAUGUUUUCAUUAAUCAAGAACGAAAGUUAGGGAUCGAAGACGAUCAGAUACCGUCGUAGUCUUAACCAUAAACUAUGCCGACUAGGGAUCGGAUGAUUGUUAAUUUUUAUGUACU